ensembl:lncRNA
GGUCUGCAGCCCACCACGCUCCUAUGUCCAUGGGAUUUUUCAGGCAAGAAUACUUGAGUUGUCAUUUCCUCCUCCAGGGGAUCUUCUCUACCCAGGGAUUGAACCUGUGUCUCCUGGGGGAAGGUAGAAGGUAGUCAGAAACAAGGGGACGGGUGUGUGAGGUCGCUCCCCAGGAAGUGCUGGAAUUUGCCCCCAAAUCAACUCUUGGCAAAAUUAGGAUGUGUUCAUGCUCUUCCCACUUAAUAAAUCCAGAGAAACCAACUUAGUGUGACAUUGGAAAAAAAAAACCCAAAGGGACAAUUACUUAACUAGCAUUUUUGCUGCGUCUUCAACAGCUGUCACGGGGGGACACCUGUGCACCUGCAUCUCUCUCCUCUGCUUCGUGAAGGAGGCGGCUUAGGGAAGAUUGCAGAGGUUUCCCAGCCCAGAACAGGGCAACAGAGACAUUCCUCUCACCUUGAAGCUGCUCACAGGAAGAAGAUGGAGCCAUCCGAGUCAGGAUGCUGCCGGUCUCUUCCAGAAGGUCCAGAAGCCCAGGACUGCCCUGACCUGCAGCCCACCCUCAACUGAGCAGUAUAAGUAGUGCUGUGAGAAGCCCCACUCCCCAUCCAAGGAACUUCGGAGCAAUGAUUACACCCUCCACGGUUCAGUUCCUGCCAAGGCGUUAAGUAAAAAUGCUACUACUCACUAGGAUCAGAAGAACUAGGGUGAGGAGAGUGGGGCAC